rnacentral:rRNA from 1 species
AGAAUGAACGCUGGCGGCGUGCUUAACACAUGCAAGUCGAACGGAAUACAAGGGAGCUUGCUCCUGAACUAUUUAGUGGCGAACGGGUGAGUAUCACGUGAGCAACCUGCCCCGAAGAUUGGGAUAACACCGGGAAACCGGUGCUAAUACCGAAUACCCCUCACACAUCGCAUGAUGAGUGAAGGAAAUGUUUUUUCGCUUCGGGAGGGGCUCGCGGUCCAUCAGCUUGUUGGCGGGGUAACGGCCCACCAAGGCUACGACGGAUAGCUGGUCUGAGAGGACGAUCAGCCACACUGGAACUGAGACACGGUCCAGACUCCUACGGGAGGCAGCAGUGGGGAAUCUUGCGCAAUGGACGAAAGUCUGACGCAGCAACGCCGCGUGAGGGACGAAGGCUUUCUGAGUUGUAAACCUCUUUCGACAGGAACGAUUGUGACGGUACCUGUAGAAGAAGCACCGGCCAACUAUGUGCCAGCAGCCGCGGUAA